AUUUUGUUUUGAGAAGAUAUAACAGAAGCUAUUAGAGAGUUAUUGUAUUAAUUCUUUAGGAUGGUACUUCUAUACACAUAGGAACGUUAGAAUAGGCAUAUAGAAACGUUAAAAUAGGUAUUUCGGCGUUAUGAAACUGGUUCAUAAAAAAUUAUUAGAGCACUAUGAAAAUUGAGAUGACAGAAACAAUCAGGAUGAGUCAAACAGAUACAAGGAGGAAAUAAACCUAAUAAUAUAUAGUAAUACUGCUAAUAUAUAUUGCAUUUUUACAAAAAGUUGAAAGAGGUUAAAUUGAAAAUAAUAAAAUUUCUAGUCAUAACUGAAUAUAGUGAUAGAACAAAGUGCUGCGAUAUAAACACAACGAAAAACAUCUAAACGUUGUAAUGGAAUAUAGGGAAUGGUUAGAACAACUGAUUGAUUGUUAUUAUGACAAGGAUAAAGUUAUAUUAGUUUAAGAGUUUAUGUGAUAUUACCAAAUGCAUAAAUAUAGAUAGUAAAGGGUAAUAGUGUGGAAGAGGAUAAUUUGUAUAGGCUACGUAUGAGGUAUUUGGGCUAAGAAAUUAUCGAAAUAUAAACAUGUUUUUAUAGGCAAAUGAGAAAAUUAUAUUUGAAAUUAUAUGGAAGAUUUUUAGUUCAAUAUUACAGGAGAUAAUCAAAGGUGAUGAUGUUAAGUGAGUUGGUGACAGAUUAAUUAAAAAUAUAGAAUAGGAUGUUUUUAAAAGAUGGUAGGAUAUUAUAGAGAGAGGAUUAGGUAGUCAAGACUAAGACAGAAAGACCAAAAUUGAUAAAGGAUACGUUGAAGAUAAUGUAAUAUAAUAUAAGUUUGAAGAACACAAUAGAUUUGAGAUUAUAUUAUAGGGAGGACAAGUUAAUGGUUUAAUGGUUUGGUUAUUGAAAAAUCUAAAGCUGAGUGUAGAUGAGGUUGUAUACUAUGUAGGUCUCAAUUAUUUUGGUUUAUAUGAACAGGAAUAGGAUUCAGGUAGAAAAGAAUUAAAGUUUUUUAGCUGAAGAAAUGAAACAAGAUGAGAAAAGUGUGAAAGAUUGGAUUAGUAAAUGUUGAUUGGUGAUAGUUGUUUAAAGUAAGAUAAAAGUUAGUUGUAGGGUAAUUAGAUGAUGGAGAGCGAGAAGACGUAUACGAUGACAGCUUGAUAAAGUUAGGGUUGAAAAUAAGAGAUAUAGGGAUGUGGCAGAAGAUGAUGAAUUACGGUUUAGAGAAUAUGUGAGUUUAAUAGCGUUUGGAGAAAGCUUUAUUAUUUUAGCUGUAGAAGAAUUGUUGUAGUAAUCAAAUAUAUUAGCUAAUAGAUUCAAGGAUAGAAAUGAUUGUGAGAGUGAAUUUAGUGACUACUUGAAAGUAAGCAAAUGUAAUAGUGAAAUGGUCCCGUUAUACUGGGACAUAGAGAUUGUGUUGGGUAUGAUAGAGAUUACAAAUACAUUGGAGGGUUUGACGAAAAUGGACACAUAUAGGUUAGUAUGAUAUAGAUUAAAUAUGGAAAAAAGUAGGUAUAAAUGGUUAAUAAUCAAUUAUUAUAAGUGAACAUAGAUAUUAUAGAAAUUGAUAGCUAGUCAAAAGUUGAUGAAUAGUAGGAUUUGAUUUGUGAUGUCAAGAUGUUAAUAUAUUUAUCAGAUGAUUAAGAUAAAUAACGAAUAUGAAGCUUAGGAAUAUAAAGAAAAGACUAUUUUGUUUUUAUUUA